UUUCUUCUUGCCCAUUAACUUCAUUCAAAUCAUCAUUUCCUUUCAACAAACGCUCCAAAACCUUCAUCCUCGCGCUAAAAACCGGACUCAAACAAGGGAAAAUCACAUCUCCAGGCUUGUUACCAUAAGCAUCACAAGAAUCCGGAUUCGCAGAGCCCUUCAGCAGAAGAGUAACAAUCUCAAGGCUAUUGGCAGACAAGCCAGAGACCGCACAGUGAAGAGCCGUGGCACCAUCAGAGCCACAAGAGCG